UUUGCUUGUUGUCAAGCCAUGAUGUCUCUCUCUCUCUCAUGGGUGGGCCAAAUUCUCUGGGCGGGCAAAGCAGAGAAAGGGGAGGUAACCUUUCCCCUUAUGACCUCAUAAAGGGAAGAUUCCAGAUCGGCCCAUCUGAGCUUUCAUUUUCUCAAAGGUAGAGCAGGAUACCCAGGGCUCGGUUUACACCUAUCACCAUUUCUAGCCACUGGGGGACCAUAGGCAGGCUGGGGGAACUCAUAUUGAUGUUGAAAAACCUCAUUAAGUGAAUUUUUCAUGCCA